GAUGAACGCUGGCGGCGUGCCUAAUACAUGCAAGUCGAGCGAACAGACGAGGAGCUUGCUCCUCUGACGUUAGCGGCGGACGGGUGAGUAACACGUGGAUAACCUACCUAUAAGACUGGGAUAACUUCGGGAAACCGGAGCUAAUACCGGAUAAUAUAUUGAACCGCAUGGUUCAAUAGUGAAAGACGGUUUUGCUGUCACUUAUAGAUGGAUCCGCGCCGCAUUAGCUAGUUGGUAAGGUAACGGCUUACCAAGGCAACGAUGCGUAGCCGACCUGAGAGGGUGAUCGGCCACAUUGGAACUGAGACACGGUCCAGACUCCUACGGGAGGCAGCAGUAGGGAAUCUUCCGCAAUGGGCGAAAGCCUGACGGAGCAACGCCGCGUGAGCGAUGAAGGUCUUCGGAUCGUAAAACUCUGUUAUUAGGGAAGAACAAAUGUGUAAGUAACUAUGCACGUCUUGACGGUACCUAAUCAGAAAGCCACGGCUAACUACGUG
rnacentral:rRNA from 1 species